CAAUAGCGUAUAUUAAAGUUGUUGCGGUUAAAAGCUCGUAGUUGGAUUUCUGCUGAGGACGAUCGGUCCGCCCUCUGGGUGAGUAUCUGGCUCGGCCUUGGCAUCUUCUUGGAGAACGUUACUGCACUUGACUGUGUGGUGCGGUAUCCAGGACUUUUACUUUGAGGAAAUUAGAGUGUUUCAAGCAGGCGCACGCCUUGAAUACAUUAGCAUGGAAUAAUAAGAUAGGACCUUGGUUCUAUUUUGUUUGGUUUCUUAGAGCUGAGGUAAUAGAUUAAUAGGGAUAGUUGGGGGUGGCUAGUAUUGACCGGCCACGAGGUGAAUUACUUGGAUUCGGUCAAGACUAACUUAUGCGAAAGACA
rnacentral:rRNA from 1 species